rnacentral:rRNA from 1 species
GAGCACGUAGGUGGGUUUGUAAGUCAGAUGUGAAAGCCUUCUGUUCAAAGGAAGAACGGCAUCUGAAACUACAGAUCUUGAGUGUAGGAGGGGAGAGUGGAACUUCUGGUGGAGCGGUGAAAUGCGUAGAUAUCAGAAGGAACGUCGGCGGCGAAAGCGACUCUCUGGCCUAUUACUGACACUGAGUGUGCGAAAGUUAGGGGAGCAAACGGGAUUAGAUACCCCGGUAGUCCUAACUGUAAACGAUGGGCACUAAGUAGAGGGGUUUU